rnacentral:rRNA from 1 species
GACGAACGCUGGCGGCGUGCUUAACACAUGCAAGUCGAACGAAGAGCGAUGGAAGCUUGCUUCUAUCAAUCUUAGUGGCGAACGGGUGAGUAACGCGUAAUCAACCUGCCCUUCAGAGGGGGACAACAGUUGGAAACGACUGCUAAUACCGCAUACGAUCUAAUCUCGGCAUCGAGGAUAGAUGAAGGGUGGCCUCUACAUGUAAGCUAUCACUGAAGGAGGGGAUUGCGUCUGAUUAGCUAGUUGGAGGGGUAACGGCCCACCAAGGCGAUGAUCAGUAGCCGGUCUGAGAGGAUGAACGGCCACAUUGGGACUGAGACACGGCCCAGACUCCUACGGGAGGCAGCAGUGGGGAAUCUUCCGCAAUGGACGAAAGUCUGACGAAGCAACGCCGCGUGAGUGAUGACGGCCUUCGGGUUGUAAAGCUCUGUUAAUCGGGACGAAAGGCCUUCUUGCGAAUAGUGAGAAGGAUUGACGGUACCGGAAUAGAAAGCCACGGCUAACUACGUG